rnacentral:lncRNA from 1 species
CGACUGCGCUCCGGGGCCGGGGGGGAGCGGGGCAAUAUCACCUCGGGGAUCCCCGGACCUUUGCUCCCCCCCUCCCCCGGGGGGGUGGAUUUUCCUUUUGUUUUGUUUUGGCUCCGAGGUGCUGGGUGCCUGGGUGGGACGCCAGGGAAAAGGGCAGGAUGGCUGAGCGGUGACACACGCUGAGAAGCGUCACCGCAUCCUCGUCACGCCCCGGGGCAGGGGGGGGACACCCCGGGGUCCCCCAGGCCACCGGGGGCGGGUGAGGUGGGGACAUCAUCCCAGGAGGGAGCCCCGCUUUACGGAGGAUGCUCCCGAGAUUUCGGUGUCCCCCGACGGGGGCGAUGAGACGUUGGCAACGCGUUGUCACCUGCUUGCAGCCAUCCCUGAAAUGACGUAGGGACGGGGCGGUCAUGGUACACUGCGGGAACGUGGGGAUGUCACAGGGUACGGGCGGGGAUGUCACAGUCCGUGACGGAGACGGGGCAUGUGUCGAUGUUACAGUGCACGGCAGGGGCGUGGGGGCAGGUGAUGUGGGGCUGUCACGACAUGGGGACAGGGGGAUGGUCCCAGGGCACAGCAGGGCCAUGGGGACAGGAGACAUGAGGAUGUCACAGUGCUCCAUGGGGACACACGGGGACAGGGGGAUGUCACGGUGCUCUGUGGGGACACAUGGGGACAGGGGGAUGGUCCCGGGACAUGGCAGGGCCAUGCAGACAGGAGACAUGGAGAUAUCAUGGUGCUCAAUAGGGAUGUGGGGUUAGGAGACAUGGGGAUGUCACGGUGCUCCAUGGGGACACACGGGGACAGGGGGAUGUCACAGGACACGGUGGGGAUGGGGGUCAUGGGGAUGUCACAGUGCUUAGUGCAUGGCGGGGACACAGGGACCUGGGGACGGGGCUGUCACCGUGCACAGUGGUGGCACGGAACAGGGCAGUCACCUUGCGCAGUGGUGGCACAGGGACAGGGCUGUCACCGUGCAUGGCAGGGACACGGGCGUCCCCUCACACACGGAGCCAAGGCCACC